UAAUACGGAGGGUGCAAGCGUUAAUCGGAAUUACUGGGCGUAAAGCGUGCGUAGGUGGUUUGUUAAGUCAGAUGUGAAAGCCCCGGGCUCAACCUGGGAACUGCAUUUGAAACUGGCGAACUUGAGUAUAGGAGAGGAAAGUGGAAUUUCUGGUGUAGCGGUGAAAUGCGUAGAUAUCAGAAGGAACAUCAAUGGCGAAGGCAGCUUUCUGGACUAAUACUGACACUGAGGUACGAAAGCGUGGGUAGCAAACAGGAUUAGAUACCCUGGUAGUCCACGCCGUAGACGAUGACAACUAGCCGUUGGGGGGAUUUACCCUUUAGUGGCGAAGCUAACGCGUUAAGUUGUCCGCCUGGGGAGUACGGCCGCAAGGUUA
rnacentral:rRNA from 1 species